AAAUGAAUUGACGGGGGCCCGCACAAGCGGUGGAGCAUGUGGUUUAAUUCGAUGCUACGCGAAGAACCUUACCAGGGCUUGACAUCCCCGGACCGCCCCGGAAACGGGGCUUCUGUAGCGAUACAGCCGGGAGACAGAUGCUGCAUGGCUGUCGUCAGCUCGUGUCGUGAGAUGUUGGGUUAAGUCCCGCAACGAGCGCAACCCCCAUCCUGUGUUGCCAGCGAGUGAAGUCGGGAACUCACAGGAAACUGCCCCUGUAAGGGGGAGGAAGGUGGGGAUGACGUCAAGUCAGCAUGGCUCUUACGUCCUGGGCUACACACAUGCUACAAUGGAUGCGACAGAGGGAAGCGAGGCCGCGAGGCGGAGCGGAUCCCAAAAAGGCAUCCCCAGUUCGGACUGCAGUCUGCAAUUCGACUGCACGAAGGCGGAAUCGCUAGUAACCGCAGGUCAGCAGUACUGCGGUGAAUACGUUCCCGGGCCUUGUACACACCGCCCGU
rnacentral:rRNA from 1 species